UUUAAAGAGAGUUUGAUCCUGGCUCAGGACGAACGCUGGCGGCGUGCCUAAUACAUGCAAGUCGAACGAACGGAGGAAGAGCUUGCUCUUCCAAAGUUAGUGGCGGACGGGUGAGUAACACGUGGGCAACCUGCCUGUAAGUUGGGGAUAACUCCGGGAAACCGGGGCUAAUACCGAAUGAUAAAGUGUGGCGCAUGCCACGCUUUUGAAAGAUGGUUUCGGCUAUCGCUUACAGAUGG
rnacentral:rRNA from 1 species